rnacentral:rRNA from 1 species
UCCCCCAAAAGCCAACCCCCAAAACCCCCCCCUUUGGGAAACCCCGUUCAAAAUUUCAUCAAGAUUUAGGGGCCCCCCCAAAGGGGAACCUUUGGGUCAAAUUAACCGAAAACCCUCAAGGUUUUUCACAUCCUUUCCCCGUAAAAAAAAGGUUCCCCUUGGGGGCAGGGUACAAGGUGGAUGGUGUGGAAGUUCGUUCCUUAAAAUGUGGGUAAAGUCCCGAAACAACCCUUAAUCUAAGUCCCCAUCAUAAUUGGCCCUUUUAGGGAUUCCGGGUUCCAACCGGAAGAAAGGUGGGAUCCGUCAAAUGUUCAGCCCCUUAUGCUUGGUUAACACGUCUACAAUGGCGAUACAAACGGUUGCCAACUCGCGAGAGGGAGCUAAUCCGAUAAAGUCCGUUCCUCAGUUCGAUUGUAGGCUGCAACUCGCCUACAUGAAGCCGGAAUCGCUAGUAAUCGCGGAUCAGCAUGCCGCGGUGAAUACGUUCCCGGGCCUUGUACACACCGCCCGUCACACCACGAGAGUUUGUAACACCCGAAGUCGGUGAGGUAACCUCUUGGAGCCAGCCGCGAGAUCGCCUACAAACC